CAGCCGCCGCGGGAAUACGUAGGGUGCGAGCGUUGUCCGGAAUUAUUGGGCGUAAAGAGCUUGUAGGCGGUCUGUCGCGUCUGCUGUGAAAACCCGAGGCUCAACCUCGGGCCUGCAGUGGGUACGGGCAGACUAGAGUGCGGUAGGGGAGAACGGAACUCCUGGUGUAGCGGUGGAAUGCGCAGAUAUCAGGAAGAACACCGAUGGCGAAGGCAGUUCUCUGGGCCGUAACUGACGCUGAGAAGCGAAAGCGUGGGGAGCGAACAGGAUUAGAUACCCCAGUAGUCCCUGUCUCUUAUAC
rnacentral:rRNA from 1 species